ACAGCCGUACCAUGCUGAAUAUACCGGUUCUCGUUAGAUCACCGAAGUUAAGCAUCAUUGGGCGCGGUCAGUACUUGGGUGGGUGACCACCUGGGAACACUGCGUGCC
rnacentral:rRNA from 1 species